AGAGAAUAAAGCUGGAUCUAGCCCAGUGGUGGUUGCCUAGCAACAAAGCUAUGUGUUAGGAAAAGGAUGGGAGUACUUCAGACAUUGGGUAUCACUUCAGGCAUUGCGUUUCCUUGAAAAAUGUGAAGAAACCUUUCUGCUCUUUUGAAAUUGUCUGUUUAAAGAUGCCUAUGAUCCAUACCACAUGCUAGGACACUCUUCCUCUUUUUAAGUCAGAUUCACAUUAAAAUUCAGCUCAGUUGCCACCUCUUCCAUGAAGCUUUCUCUGGCUAUCCCCAAGGACCCUCAGACUCUGUACCAUGUCUGCUUCCUCUGGGCUCCCCUCACCUUCUGCAUUUCACUACCUUUGCUCUUCUUUAAAUGUUUAGUAGAAUUCAGCAGUGAAGCCACUGGGUCCUUGGCUUUUCUUCACUGGGAGACCUUUUUAUUGUGGCUUCAAUCUCAUUACCUAUUAUUGGUCUGGUCAGGUUUUGGAUUUAUUUGUGGUUCAACCUUGGUAGGCUGUAUGUGUCUAUGAAUUUGUCCACUUCUUGUUGGCACUUAUCAUGGUGUCCAUCACUUAUCAUGAAAUCAUUAGCUUGUUCAUCUCUCUGUUAAUGUGCCCAACCAGAUUAUAGUUAGGGACUGUCCCUUGCUUUUCUUUGUAUCUCACAUGCAUAAUCUCAUGCUUUGUAAAGGCCCUAGUACAGUUUGUUGAGUGGAUGGGUGGAUGGAUGAUGAAGAAGUAAAUGAACUAAUGAAUAAAUUAGAAAAUCAGACUUCAGUAAGAAUAUGAUCUAUAAUCAUGGCUGUAUUGAGGACUCUAAUAUGUGUAAAUGUAAUGGAAUAACUCCAAUACGUACCGCUGUGAGGGAUUUUUGUGAUAAGCCUGUCUCAAGUCAUGUUCAGAAAAGUUUAUUUGAAUUAAGUCGUCUUUUCCCUAUUUUCUGUUCUCUGCCCUACAGGCUGCCUGAGCAAUUGUGGCUGAUUCGUGAAGCGAGUUCCCAUUAUCAUCCAAUUGGCCCUGAUCUCGCAUCCCAAGCCCACGGAUCAUACCACACUGUUCUUUCUGCGAAACAGUUGAGAAUUACCAGUAAUUGGGACUGUUUACAUUCAAUGCCAUCCUGACAGAAGCAGCUUUAUUAUAUUGCAGAGGGAUAAUUAAUAUAUGAUGGGGAUUAAAGAUUGCAUCACAGCAGGUAAGCCUCUUGUCUGAUAAGUCAUUUCACUGAUUACAAAGGAAUGCAAAUUAUAUAAACAGAAAUAAUGUUUUUCUCUUAUGCUAAUUUUAGCCUAGCCCACCUGUGCAUUUUCGAUUAACUGGAGAAAGGUGAAAAAUAUUAGGUUUGCUAAGGUAGAUUUCUGCCGUGUCAGCCCACCUCAUCUGAUAUUAAAUGCAGUUAUAUCUUAUUUAGACUCUGUUUUUAACCUCUUUUUAAUUCCUGAAAAGAUAAAAUUCAAGCAAAUUACUCAUAUGAGCUAUGAGAUUUAGGAGACGUGACAUGAUUUGGAUAAGGUAAAAGGCUUGUCUUUCUUGACAAAUUGUACAAAUUAGAGCAAUAUUCUUGGCUAUUUGACUAUCGUGAUAUUGUCAUGUCUUAGGCUUGUGCUUGUUUGCAAUAGAUCUUUAAUACCUAAUAUUGUUAAUUGUACAACAUAUCAAUACUCUCCUUUGCCUCUAUCACAGGCCAAGGCAAGAUGUAAUAAACAUUAAUAAUUUUAGAUUUAUAUCCACUGUAGCAAGAAUGGGAAAAAAGUGUCAUCUGAAAUGCCAUUUUCAAGCAAUUGCAGUGAUUUCCUGGAACCCUACAUAACAAGUCCAGAUUCAGUGGGAAAGACUGUGAGGAUCCAUUAGCAAUGCUUACGAUGAGCAAGUCUUGUGAUGGGGUUACCCUCCUUGCAUUAGAAUUUGCAGUCUUCUAUUAGGCCAUUAGCCUUUGAGAGCAAAAACUAUAUGUUUCUCAUUUUUGUAGCCCCAGUGCCAGGCACACAGUAGCUGCUCCAAUAGCAAAGGAGUCUGAGUCAGGCUGCUUGGGUUUAAUGGCUGUCUUUGUCGCUUACUAGCUGAGUGAACUCUUCAUGUUUAUAACUUAACUGUGGUUCAGUUUCCUUCUCUACAGAAAAGGCAUGAGUUCCUCAUUCAUAGGGUUAUAAUAAGGGUUAAAUAAAGUCAUGCGUAUCCAAAGCUUAGCAUACUGCCUGAGACAUAGUAAAUACUUGAGGAAUGCAGGUAUAAAUUAACAUAGGAAUGAAUAACUUUGCAAGGAAACAGAGAGAAGGAUCCUAAACAGUCCUGCUGGUGUAUGCAUUUAUGAUUCAAAAAUCCUCAAUUGUUAAAAUUUGGGUCAGAAACGUAUUAUUCCAGGUUGUUGGUAAAUGUGAGGGCCCUUCUGGGUUUGGAGGUAGAACAAUACACUGAGAGGCCAAAGGAGCUGCAAAUAAAAAUUGACUUCUCUGGGAAAAUGAUUUUCACAUUUAUACCUACCUGCCUUUUGUCCUCCCAUGCAUUUCUCCAGAUGUGGUACCAAUGUGAUACAACUGUUGUUUAUUCCUUCUUUGACAAUAGCAAGGUAGUAUGAACCUGCCAGUGAGGGCUUCAAAUAUAGCUCCAGAGACAUUCACCACUACUGCCUGCCUCCAUGGUUUCCCAUUCCCUUUCACAAAUAAAACAUGGCCUCAUGCUUCAUUCUGAGCUUGCAUUUUACAUACAUCAUUUGGAUCUUCUCUGCAAAACAAUGAAGUGGGCGUGGUAAUCUUCCUUUACAAAUAGAGAAACUGAGGCCUAACAUGAGGAGCAAUUUCCCCGUAAAAAUCCUUUAUUGUCAAGGUCCAAAUGGCUGAUGAUUCAUGCCAUAGACAUCCCAAACCAGCUGGUAGGCAGAGCUCUGGGCAUUCCAAAUGGAAACGUGGAACAGACACAGAUCACCUGGCCACACAGACCUCAGCUCUAAAGACAGACAACUACUUACCUGUUAAAGUUUCCUGUGCACUAAUUUUUAAAAUCUAGAGAUAGAUAUUAAGUAGGUUAAGUGACAUCUUAAAUUAGCCCAUGGACAUUUGAGAACAGAAUCAUUUUUAGAAUCUUGAUUCUGAGAUUCACUGUUGGGCUUAAGUCACUGCUUCUGUGAUGGUUGGUUUUGGGUGUGAACUUGACUGCAUUAAGGGAUACUUAUCUGGGAAAGCAUUAUUUACUCUCCAUGCUUCAGUAGAUACUGAGCCCUUCCCUCUUCUGCCGAAAGGGAAACCCAGGUGAUUUGGCGUUUGAUUAGAAACAAUUGGGCUGCCCCAGGUGUGUCGGUGAGGGUGCUUCUGAGGGAAACUGGGACUAAAUGAAGAAGAUCUGCCCUCCAUAUGAGCAGGCACGAUCCAACCAGCUGGGGGCCCCAAAUAGAACAAAAAGGCAGAUAAAGGGCAAAGUCUCCCUGGAGAAGAGCCCGGCCUGUAGACAGACAUCAGAACUCCAGGUUCUCCAGCCUUUGGGCUCCAGGACUCACACCAAGGCGCCACCGGGCUCUCUGACCUUCAGCUUUGGACUGAGAAUUACACCAUAUAAUGCCAUGGUUCUGAAGCCUUCAAACUCAGACUGAGCCGCGCUACAGGCUUUCCAGGUUGUCCAGCAUGCAGAAGGUCUGUUGUGGGACUUCUCAGCCUCCAUAAGCAAGUAAGACAAUUACCUCUAAUAAAUCCUUUUUCAUAUAUCUCUCUAUACAUCUGUAGCUUCUGUCUCUAGGGAGAACCCUAACUAAAACCCAUUCUCAAAGGUAACAUGCAUAAGAAUUGCCCAGAGCAGGGGGAUGGAGUCUUGCUAACAUGCACAUUGAUUUAGAAGAGGUAGGGCCUAGGAUUUUCUGUAGUUCUGAAACACUUCCAGGUGAUGUUGAUGCUGAUGGACAAGGAGCACACUAUCAGUUUUCAGUCAGGCUUCCACAAAGUGCUUUCUGCGGG
ensembl:lincRNA